rfam:Pongo abelii chromosome 8.
UAUAAGGAUUUUUUAAAAUCCUUACAUUUAAAGUUUAGAGUUGUCU